rnacentral:tmRNA from 1 species
GGGGCCGAAAGGUUUCGACCGGACAGAUCCGGCUUAUCGUGGCACGCCGAGGCGCACGUUGGCCGCGUUAAAAGCGUGCAAAACCAAACUGCCAACAACGAUGUUGCUGGCCGGAUCGGCUUCGCGCCGGUCCGCAUGGCUGCCUAGAGCGGCCAUGGCCGUGGAUGACCGCCCGUAAGAUUCCACGGCCAACUGAUCAUCGGGCUGGUCCAAAGGCGGCGCAUCAGCGCCGGCGGACGAGAAAACACUGAUGCUGGACAGGGCCGUAUGCCGCCGCCGGCAGACGCCCUGCCGAGAUCAAAACGGCGGAUAAGCGUGUAGAGGCGGUAAGUCGAUCGUCUCGGGACCGGGGUUCAACUCCCCGCGGCUCCAUUG